CCUACGGGCGGCAGCAGUGAGGAAUAUUGGUCAAUGGACGCAAGUCUGAACCAGCCAUGCCGCGUGCAGGAAGACGGCCCUAUGAGUUGUAAACUGCUUUUGUACGAGGGUAAAUCGAGAUACGUGUACCGGGUUGAAAGUACUGUACGAAUAAGGAUCGGCUAACUCCGUGCCAGCAGCCGCGGUAAUACGGAGGAUCCAAGCGUUAUCCGGAUUUAUUGGGUUUAAAGGGUGCGUAGAUGGUUCGAUAAGUUAGAGGUGAAAGCCCGGGGCUCAACGGCGGCACUGCCUUUGAUACUGUCAGGCUAGAGUUUAGUUGCGGUAGGCGGAAUGUGUGGUGUAGCGGUGAAAUGCAUAGAGAUCAUACAGAACACCGAUUGCGAAGGCAGCUUACCAAACUGCGACUGACGUUGAGGCACGAAAGCGUGGGGAGCAAACAGGAUUAGAUACCCGGGUAGUC
rnacentral:rRNA from 1 species